ACUGUUGGGGGCCAUCUUGCUUUCCUAACAGAAAAGCCCAGCUGAGAAUGACACCAGCACAGAGGAAAGUAAGCAAGGCCACGAGGUCGGGAAAGAUGAUUGCUACUGAUGUCAUCAAGCACCCAGACCGUUGGCUACAUGAGAAUGGAGACCCCUGCUGGCUUGAGCCACCGCUGUGCCCUGGUGUCUGGAACCAGCCUGGCAUAAGAGGGCCUCAGUGAAUGUGCCCCGGAAACCACAAGUAAGGCGCCUGUCACAAUUGUCCCUCCUCCUGGGGUUUCUUCACGUGGCCCUGCACGGUGUGGCGUGCCCCUUUCUCCUGGGAACCGUGAGUAACAAACUCUUCUCAAAGGCAUCGUCUCCUGAUCUGUAGGCCUUACUGAACCUCAGAUUUUCUCUAGAUACACUUUAUUUGAAAGCAGCACUACCAGACCCUUUGCAGACAAUUAAGAGUAACAAACAAAUGGACUGUAUACGUUGUCAUGACAUCUUCAGCAAAGUUAAUGUUAUUAGAAGUCCUUCCCCCCAUAAAAUGGCAGGUUCCGUAAGAGCGGAGGGCGUAUAGGAAAUGACCCUGAGCAGACCAGGCACCUGCGAAGUCCUCGGUAUCUGUCUCCCCAGACUGAGAGCUCAGGCCCAGUCGUCCCCAAGUCCCGGGCUCCACCUUCCUACCGUGCUUGCUGUUUGGUCGGUUUGUCAAAUUCAGCUUUUAAGCUUGUCAGCUUCGCAGGGAACUUGUCAGCUCCAAACUCAUCUUUCGAGCAAUAAUCAAGUUACACCGUGCGCGAGA